UCUAAGCGCAAGCCCUUGAAUGGUUAAGCCGCGAAUGGCUCAUUACAACAGCCAUAGUUUAUUAGAUCUUCACUCUUACUUGUUUAACUGCGAUAAUUUCGGAGCUAAUACAUGCAACAAGCUCGGACCUCACGGAACGAGCGCAUUUGUUAGUACAAACCAAUCGGGCUUCGGCUCGUCAUUUGGUGAAUCUGAAUAACUUUGCUGAUCGCACGGUCUCGUACCGGCGACGAAUCUUUCAAGUGUCUGCCUUAUCAACUUUCGAUGGUAGUUUACACGACUACCAUGGUUGUAACGGGUAACGGAGAAUAAGGGUUCGACUCCGGAGAGGGCGCCUGAGAAACGGCUACCACA
rnacentral:rRNA from 1 species